UCCUUCUUGGUCCACUGGUUAAGACUCUGCUCUUCCAACGCAGGGGACACAGGUUCAAUCCCUGUUCGGAGAA
rnacentral:tRNA from 1 species